rnacentral:rRNA from 1 species
GACGAACGCUGGCGGCGUGCUUAACACAUGCAAGUCGAACGGAAAGGCCCUGCUUUUGUGGGGUGCUCGAGUGGCGAACGGGUGAGUAACACGUGAGUAACCUGCCCUUGACUUUGGGAUAACUUCAGGAAACUGGGGCUAAUACCGGAUAGGAGCUCCUGCUGCAUGGUGGGGGUUGGAAAGUUUCGGCGGUUGGGGAUGGACUCGCGGCUUACCAGCUUGUUGGUGGGGUAGUGGCUUACCAAGGCUUUGACGGGUAGCCGGCCUGAGAGGGUGACCAGCCACAUUGGGACUGAGAUACGGCCCAGACUCCUACGGGAGGCAGCAGUGGGGAAUAUUGCACAAUGGGCGGAAGCCUGAUGCAGCAACGCCGCGUGCGGGAUGACGGCCUUCGGGUUGUAAACCGCUUUCGCCUGUGACGAAGCGUGAGUGACGGUAAUGGGUAAAGAAGCACCGGCUAACUACGUG